UACGUAGGGACCGAGCGUUGUCCGGAAUCAUUGGGCGUAAAGCGCGUGUAGGCGGCCUUGUAAGUCGAAUGUGAAAUCUCCGGGCUCAACCCGGAAACUGCAUUCGAUACUGCAGGGCUUGAGGUAGGUAGAGGAGAGUGGAAUUCACGGUGUAGCGGUGGAAUGCGCAGAUAUCGUGAGGAACACCAGUAGCGAAGGCGGCUCUCUGGGCCUUGACCUGACGCUGAGACGCGAAAGCAUGGGUAGCAAACAGG
rnacentral:misc_RNA from 1 species